UACGUAGGCAGCGAGCGUUGUUCGGAAUUACUGGGCGUAAAGCGUGCGUAGGCGGUGCCUCAAGUUUGGUGUGAAAUCUCCCGGCUCAACCGGGAGGGUGCGCCGAAAACUGAGGUGCUCGAGUGUGGGAGAGGUAAGCGGAAUUCCUGGUGUAGCGGUGAAAUGCGUAGAUAUCAGGAGGAACACCGGCGGUGUAGACGGCUUACUGGACCAUAACUGACGCUGAGGCACGAAAGUGUGGGGAGCAAACAGG
rnacentral:rRNA from 2 species